UGAGGAAUAUUGGUCAAUGGACGCAAGUCUGAACCAGCCAUGCCGCGUGCAGGAUGACGGCUCUAUGAGUUGUAAACUGCUUUUGUACGAGGGUAAACUCACCUACGUGUAGGUGACUGAAAGUAUCGUACGAAUAAGGAUCGGCUAACUCCGUGCCAGCAGCCGCGGUAAUACGGAGGAUUCAAGCGUUAUCCGGAUUUAUUGGGUUUAAAGGGUGCGUAGGCGGUUAGAUAAGUUAGAGGUGAAAUCCCGGGGCUUAACUCCGAAAUUGCCUCUAAUACUGUUUGACUAGAGAGUAGUUGCGGUAGGCGGAAUGUAUGGUGUAGCGGUGAAAUGCUUAGAGAUCAUACAGAACACCGAUUGCGAAGGCAGCUUACCAAACUAUAUCUGACGUUGAGGCACGAAAGCGUGGGGAGCAAACAGG
rnacentral:rRNA from 1 species